CCCUUAGAUGUUCUGGGCCGCACGCGUGCUACACUGAGUAAUUCAAUGGGUAAGGGAACGCUAGAGCAUUACCUAUUCUUGAAAUUUGCUCGUGAUGGGGAUCGACGGUUGCAAUUUUCCGUCGUGAACGAGGAAUACCUUGUAGGCGCAUGUCAUCAUCAUGCGCCGAAUACGUCCCUGCCCUUUGUACACACCGCCCGUCGCUCCUACCGAUUGAGUGAUCCGGUGAGGCUCUGGGACCUGGACGGAAAGAGCGUUUCGCUUGUUCUGUUUGGGAAACUUGGUCGAACCUUAUCAUUUAGAGGAAGGAGAAGUCGUAACA
rnacentral:rRNA from 1 species